UACGGGGGGGGCAAGCGUUGUUCGGAAUUACUGGGCGUAAAGGGCUCGUAGGCGGCCAACUAAGUCAGACGUGAAAUCCCCAGGCUCAACCUGGGAACUGCGUCUGAUACUGGAUGGCUUGAAUUCGGGAGAGGGAUGCAGAAUUCCAGGUGUAGCGGUGAAAUGCGUAGAUAUCUGGAGGAACACCGGUGGCGAAGGCGGUUCUCUGGGCAUUACCUGACGCUGAGGAGCGAAAGCAUGGGGAGCGAACAGG
rnacentral:rRNA from 1 species